UACAGAGGGUGCUAGCGUUGUUCGGAAUCAUUGGGCGUAAAGGGCGUGUAGGCGGUUUGUUAAGUCAUGUGUGAAAUCCCUCGGCUCAACCUGGGAACGACGCAUGAAACUGGCAAGCUAGAGUACCAAAGAGGGGGGUGGAAUUCCCGGUGUAGCGGUGAAAUGCGUAGAUAUCUGGAGGAACACCGGUGGCGAAGGCGGCAUCCUGGACCGGUAUUGACGCUGAGGCGCGAAAGCCAGGGGAGCAAACGGG
rnacentral:rRNA from 1 species